CCGGAAACCUUGUGUCGUACCACUACUUUAUAGACAUUGCAAUCCAGAAUGCACAACACAGUACCGUAAGCCCAUUGGCUAAUGACUGUCACGCUUAGACAGAAUGUGACUUCCUGUGCACAGAUAAAGAAAUGUUCUGUUAUGAUCUAAACAUAACAGGCGUACAUUCAUACAAUUCCACAACACUAUUACUGUAUGUUAUUGGUUUUCAGGUCUAUCUUGGACAAAUUAAUAAGUCAUCUGUUGAGACACACAACACAUGAUGAUUAACAAUUAGGCCUACUGUACAACACAUACUUUAGGUACCCAGCCAUACUGUAAAAUUUACAGUUUAAACAGCCAUAUUGUUCAACACAUACUUUAUACCGCCAUACUGUACAAUACAUCCUGUACAUUUUUGUCCUGUUAUAUCUAUUUUCUCUCUAGUUUGGUCAAAGGCAAGCUCUAUCUGUUUGGAGGAGUGUCCAAUCCACAGGCUGGAGAAUGUCUUCCUGGAGUCUAUUGUUUUGACAUAGUGAAUCUGGAAUGGGAGCGGCUCACCAUAGGGGGUGUGUCUCUCAGAACUGUCAGACACUGCUCCGUAUCCAUGGGAGACAAUAUCUAUGUCUAUGGAGGGCUUCUAGACGGGGUCCCGACUGAUGACCUCAUGAUGUUCAACACAGUGUCUCUGAACUGGACCCCUGUCAAGACCACUGGGACUCUACCAUCUGCAAGAUACAACCACACGUUCGCCGCUGUCGGUGAGCUAGUGUUCAUGUUUGGGGGGUGCACGGAGGAUGGCUGCUACCACAAUGACGUCCACAUUCUCAACACAGAUACCCUUGUGUGGCAGAGGUACGAUGUGAAGGGGGAGUCACCACUGGCCUGCGCCGGCCAGACCCUCACGGCUCACCAUGACAAGGAUAUUUACUUGUUUGGCGGCAAAUGCAUCAGUCAGGAUGGAACAGUAACUUCAACAAAUGAGAUUAACAAAUUAAGCAUUGAUAUAUAUAUUUGGUGGCAAAAAUGA
rnacentral:lncRNA from 1 species